UAAAAAGUGACAAAAAAUAAAAAAUUGAUAGAGUGGUAGAAUUUUCAGAGGGAAAUUUUAUUGUUUCGAAAUUUCCUUGCUCAAUUAGGUAAAAUUCAUUGCUUAAAUACAUUGAAAAUUAAAUCUUUUAAGUAUAACUAGUGUCUUAAAUUGCCUUCAAAUAAAAAACAACUUAUUAAGAUUGGACGCACACUUUUGGUUCUAUCGCUUUCACCAGUUAUGGAAAUGCUAUUUCCAGAAAAAUCUAUCCAUCGUUUGAGAUGUAGACGUUGAAAAUUGAAAGAAAACACGUAUCACAAGGAGAAGAAAUAAGAAAACAAAGAAAUACUGCCGUUUUAUUGAGAUUUACUGUAAACAUAUAUAGGGGUAGUUCACCCCCUUAACUUCAUUUGCGGUAAAAACGCAAAAACCCGUAUCUACUAUUUUUUUGCCCUCUUCAAAAUGCAAUUGAAACCAUCGAGAUAGGUGCUAUAGUUUUUUUGUUAUAACGAUUUUGUGAAUUUCAACCCCUAUAACUUUUUUCCUGUGCAACCCCCCGAUAUGAAACCAGUUGCAUUUUCCAUCGUUUAUCAUUAAGUUGAUUAUCGAUUUAAGUGCAUUCGCUUAUCUCGAGUGAAAAUAGGCGAAACCUGAAAACUACCCUCGGAGGUCUCAACUUUAGGGGAUAUUUUCACCCCUUGGAAACGUUUUUCCGCCGAUAAAAAAAAAUACGUGUCUCUUAGAUUUUGAUGUAGAAUAACAUAUUUCAAUUUAAUUGAAAUCGAAGGGGGUCAGCGGAAAGACUUUCCUUGUUAGUUAUUUAAGACAUGCUUAAAA